AUGAAGUAAAGUAACGGCUUGAAUACCACCGCAUCAAUGUCCUUGAUCUCGAUGCACUGAGAGCUCGUCUCCUUCAUGUGGCCAAAGAACUCGGCCAUCAGUACAGGGGACCUUGCAGCCAGGAUGACCUUGUGUGCAGCGAAGGACUUGCCGGACACGAGAAAUGUGACAUCUGCUUCCAACCCACUGUGCAGGAGCUCAGCAAGGUGCUUCUGCAGACUAGGUGAUGAUCCAGGCACUUCUUUACCUGGCACUGUUGCUGCUCGUGCUGGCAAAUCCUCCUUCAGCACGGUGACGACGCAUAGCACGGUAAAAGAAUCAUUCCUGAGAUAA
rnacentral:rRNA from 1 species